rnacentral:rRNA from 1 species
GAUGAACGCUGGCGGCGUGCCUAAUACAUGCAAGUCGAGCGAACAGACGAGGAGCUUGCUCCUCUGACGUUAGCGGCGGACGGGUGAGUAACACGUGGAUAACCUACCUAUAAGACUGGGAUAACUUCGGGAAACCGGAGCUAAUACCGGAUAAUAUAUUGAACCGCAUGGUUCAAUAGUGAAAGACGGUUUUGCUGUCACUUAUAGAUGGAUCCGCGCCGCAUUAGCUAGUUGGUAAGGUAACGGCUUACCAAGGCAACGAUGCGUAGCCGACCUGAGAGGGGGAUCGGCCACACGGGAACUGGGACACGGUCCAGACUCCUACGGGAGGCAGCAGUAGGGAAUCGUCCGCAAUGGGCGAAAGCCUGACGGAGCAACGCCGCGUGAGUGAUGAAGGUCUUCGGAUCGUAAAACUCUGUUAUUAGGGAAGAACAAAUGUGUAAGUAACUAUGCACGUCUUGACGGUACCUAAUCAGAAAGCCACGGCUAACUACGUG